AGUGAACGCUGGCGGCAGGCCUAACACAUGCAAGUCGAGCGGCAGCACGGCAAUAGCAAUAUUGUGGGUGGCGAGCGGCGGACGGGUGAGGAAUGCAUCGGGAUCUACCCGUGUCGUGGGGGACAAACGUAGGGAAACUUACGCUAAUACCGCAUGAUCUGGAGACAGCAAAGCCGGGGACCUUCGGGCCUGGCGCGAUGGGAUGAGCCGAUGUCCGAUUAGCUAGUUGGCGGGGUAAAGGCCACCAAGGCGACGAUCGGUAGCUGGUCUGAGAGGACGACCAGCCACACUGGAACUGAGACACGGUCCAGACUCCUACGGGAGGCAGCAGUGGGGAAUAGUUGGACAAUGGGGGAAACCCGUGAUCCAGCAAUACCGCGUGUGUGAAGAAGGCCUGCGGGUUGUAAAGCACUUUCAGUUGGAAGAUAAUGACGUUACCAACAGAAGAAGCACCGGCGUAACUCCGUGCCAGCAGCCG
rnacentral:rRNA from 1 species